rnacentral:tRNA from 1 species
GCUCCGAUAGCUCAGAAGGAUAGAGCAACAGCCUUCUAAGCUGUAGGUCGUAGGUUCAAAUCCUACUCGGAGUACCA